UACGUAGGUGGCAAGCGUUUGUCCGGAAUUAUUGGGCGUAAAGCGCGCGCAGGCGGUCCUUUAAGUCUGAUGUGAAAGCCCACGGCUCAACCGUGGAGGGUCAUUGGAAACUGGGAGACUUGAGUGCAGAAGAGGAAAGUGGAAUUCCAUGUGUAGCGGUGAAAUGCGUAGAGAUAUGGAGGAACACCAGUGGCGAAGGCGACUUUCUGGUCUGUAACUGACACUGAGGCGCGAAAGCGUGGGGAGCAAACAGG
rnacentral:rRNA from 1 species